rnacentral:lncRNA from 1 species
GCGUCUUGAGAAGACGUUGAUGGUGAGCGUAAGUGGAGGACUCUGCUUGCAAGCAAGACACGUGUCCCAUGGAAGGAAGAGCUUAUCUUCAUGCCUAAAAAGGGAGAGUUUGUCCCUCCUGUAAUGAUCGGAUUUAGCCAUGAUUCUGCUCUUGAAUUGGGUUAUUGCUCUUACGACUUGAAAGUUGCUGCCUGCCUAUGGGUCUUCUAGGAACGGGCUACGGUGGUUCUGGGGUGAGGUUUUCGAGUCCCGGGCACGGUUUUG